GGUGGUGUGGAUUUGUGGUUAAGAGCCUGCCCUUGAGAGCAAGACAGCCUGGGUUCAAAUCCCAGCUCCACCC
rnacentral:tRNA from 1 species